rnacentral:rRNA from 1 species
UAGCCUUUAGCAGCAUAAGUAUUAAAGGUCCUGCCUGCCCAGUGAAAACAUUUUUAACGGCCGCGGUAUUCUAACCGUGCAAAGGUAGCGUAAUCACUUGUCUUCCAAAUAAAGACCAGUAUGAACGGCUAAAUGAGGACAAACCUGUCUCCUACAACCAAUCAGUGAAACUAAUCUCCCAGUCCAAAAGCUGGGAUACCAACAUUAGACGAGAAGACCCUGUGGAGCUUAAAAUACGCCUAGUACACAAAACACAACCAGUGCAAAUUUUAAGUUGGGGCGACUUCGGAAAAAAACAAAACUUCCGAGCACAGAACCACAAAUUCAAAACCAAGGCAAACAGGCCUAAGGCAAAAACUGACCCAGUACCAACUGACCAACGAACCAAGUUACCCCAGGGAUAACAGCGCCAUCCUCUUCAAGAGUCCAUAUCGACAAGAGGGUUUACGACCUCGAUGUUGGAUCAGGGCACCCAAAUGGUGCAGCCGCUAUUAAAGGUUCGUUUGUUCAACGAUUAACAGCC